CAGUGUAAAAGUGUUCCUAUUUCUCCACAUCCUCGGCAGCACCUGUUGUUUCCUGACUUUUUAAUGAUCGCCAUUCUAACUGGUGUGAGAUGGUAUCUCAUUGUGGUUUUGAUUUGCAUUUCUCUGAUGGGUCUAUUUAUGUAAAACAAAGGGAGGGAAGUCUCAUUUACAUUAGUUUUUUUCAUAGCCUUUUGAACUUUGCAAUUUCUAUGUUUCAGAACCUAUUUCUUACAGUUUUUCUAUGCUAAACUCUGUCCUGGUCAGUUCUAGAGUGUAUGAAGAACCAAAUGAUGUAACUGUAUGCGACCUGGCUGUAGUGGAACAAAUUUGACUCUUAAGUAUGCAGGCUCUAAUUUUCCUGUCUGGUUUUGGUAAGUAUUCCUUACACAGGUUUUUUCUUUGAAAAUCUGGGAUUGAGAGGUUGAUGAAUGAAAAUUAAUCCUUUCGCUUUGUUGUGUAUAGGUUUGCAAUAAUUAGGUCAGAGUGGAGUUUUAAGGUCAUGGAGGGGGCUGAUGACUUACAAAUAAUGGGCUCUGAUUGGGCAACUACUCAUCUGAGUUCCUUCCACUUGACCUAAUUAAGCUUGUGAAAUUUACACUAAACCAUGAGCUCAUCUUUAAAAAGUUUUAUUAAAAGAUUUUCAGCUGUUCCAAAUAGGACUUAUUGGUGGAAUGUGUUUUAAAGGAUCAUAUCAGAUGAAUGAAAGGUAUUUGAUCCUUUAUUUCCUUAAUAAUAAAAUGAUGGUUUGGAAAAAUAGGCUAGAGUCUAACCACAGUGCUAUUAUUAGGCUUUCUUGUUAAACAUAGGUCUAAGCCUAAGUAUGUCAAUACAACAAAUACUUACUGUUUCAUUUCUAGUAAUAAAAAAUAAAGUCUUUCUGGCAUAAGGAUGAUUUUCAUCUGGUUAUUUUGAAACAUUUUUGUAAAAUAAAUUUCCAUCUAUAAAGAACAUUUUUAUUUGUAAGGAGGGGUAUGUCUCUGUGCACUGGAAGAGAGGGAGGACUAAAUCACUGGGAAGUCUUAUGAUAAAGAAGCCAUUGGCUUAAAUCAGCAAAGCAAGCCAUCCCUUGGUUUAAGGUGUUUUUCCUGGCCAUCCUGUCUUGACUAGAACUUUACCUACACCUUCCUUUUUGGUUUAGGCAAAUUAUAGUAUCUAAACCUGAAGUCUCAGCUCUGUGUCUUUGAGAUAUAAAUGUUCUACCACGUCUUCUCUGGAACCUGAUAACUAUCUAUCUCUUUAAAAUGCAAGUCUAGGGAGAUGACUCAUCAGAAAAAGAAGAAAAAAGAGGUAUUUGGAAAUUGUGCAAAUUAAAGCAGCCCCUGAUGCCAAAGUCUACACAUUCCUGAGUGAGUCAGUUCUGGCCAGUUCUAGCUGGAUCAAGAGAGCUCUGCUGGGCAAGCCUGAAGAGCACCUGGAUGGCGGACACCUGAGGAGCCAGGUGCCUGAAACUUCCUCCACCUGCUUGAGGAGCGCUAAAGCCCAGGUGCUGGCUGGACAACCCCUUCUGGUUGCCUAAGCAGGUGGCAGAAGAAGGAAACGAGGUCAGAGGCAGAGUGUUGAACCCUGCCUCCCAGGGGGAACGAGUACAGGAUUCUUACAUAGUCGAAAAGCUCCUUAUAGAGAAGCUCGGAACUUUCAAUACAGCUUUGCCUUUUUUGCCAUUUUAAUUUUCCAUUUAAUUUAAAUGUAUUCUCUCAUUUGACCUUCAUACUCUGUGGAGAAAUAUUUCUAUUUUGGCUUGUAUUGACAAGCUGUUUUCACACAGCCCCCGCAUCACCCAACCAACCAGCAGAGAUCCUCAUUCCCAUGAAACAGAUAAAGAAACUGAGGCCCAGGGAGGCUAAGUCCUGCCAGGAUCAUUCACCUUCCAAGCAGCCAAGCAAGCACUGGCUGUGACAGAAGCAAGAUUAAAACAGUUACAACUCACCCAGUUCACAGACGCUGAGUAACUGAUCUCCUGCCCCACCAACCUUAAUGACAGCUUUCACUGGACAAGGGACUGAUUUCAGUAACUUUCUCCUGAUAAGAGACCAUCCUCCAUGGACUGGUUCUGGCCAGUUUUAGAGGCUGUGCCUUUACAGAGGCUGAGUACCUUCAUGUCCCUGCUUCACUUUCUGAUGUGUAGGGCCUAAUUAUAAUACAUUUAAAUGUCAAGUCUCCACCCCAGAAUGAACAUGCAUGUUUAUUGAAUAUGCAUCUGUUACAUCCUCUCUUAUGAGUAUUCUCAUAAAAUGAUAUAGCUCCUCUGAUAUCCUAUUGAGUAUGUAUAUGUAGCCAACUCAUUCGGCUCAAAUUCCUGUCCUCUCCUUCCCUCCCUGGAAAUGCCUGCCUCUGGCCUUGGCUGUAGGCCACACUUCCCAGCCUGUCAUAAGGGCCACCUUGCAGGCUGCAAACCUUUAUAAGAAAUAAAGCUCUCUUUUCUAAGUUUAUAAAA